GACGAACGCUGGCGGCGUGCUUAACACAUGCAAGUCGAACGGAAAGGCCCUGCUUUCUUGGGGUUCCCGAGUGGCGAACGGGUGAGUAACACGUGAGUAACCUGCCCUUCACUUUGGGAUAACUUCAGGAAACUGGGGCUAAUACCGGAUAGGAGCUCCUGUUGCAUGGUGGGGGUUGGAACUUUUCGGCGGGUGGGGAUGGACGCGCGGCUUAUCAGCUUGUUGGUUGGGUAGUGGCUUACCAAGGCUUGGACGGGUAGCCGGCCUGAGAGGGUGACCGGGCACCAGGGGACUGAGAUACGGCACAGAGUGCUACGGUAGACAACGGUGGGGAAGAUUGCCCAAUGGGCGGAAGUCUGAUAAGACGACGCCGCGGGCGGGAUGACGGCCUUCGGGUUGAAAACCGCUGCAGGCUGUGACGACGCGUGAGUGACGGUAAUGGGAGAAGAAGCACCGGCUAACUUCGUG
rnacentral:rRNA from 1 species